UACGGGGGGAGCAAGCGUUGUUCGGAUUUACUGGGCGUAAAGGGCGCGUAGGCGGCGUAACAAGUCACUUGUGAAAUCUCCGGGCUUAACCCGGAGCGGCCAAGUGAUACUGUUGUGCUAGAGUGCGGAAGGGGCUACUGGAAUUCUCGGUGUAGCGGUGAAAUGCGUAGAUAUCGAGAGGAACACCUGCGGCGAAGGCGGGUACCUGGCCUGUUCUUGACGCUGAGGCGCGAAAGCUAGGGGAGCAAACGGGG
rnacentral:rRNA from 1 species